AUCUGGCUGAGGAGUCCAAAUUAGGACGAAACACGCGUCCUGGAC
rfam:Schistosoma mattheei strain Denwood, Zambia genome assembly, scaffold: SMTD_scaffold0001776